rnacentral:rRNA from 1 species
UAACGCGAAGAACCUUACCAGGUCUUGACAUCUUCUGCUAACCUAAGAGAUUAGGCGUUCCCUUCGGGGACGGAAUGACAGGUGGUGCAUGGUUGUCGUCAGCUCGUGUCGUGAGAUGUUGGGUUAAGUCCCGCAACGAGCGCAACCCUUAUUGUCAGUUGCCAGCAUUUAGUUGGGCACUCUGGCGAGACUGCCGGUGACAAACCGGAGGAAGGUGGGGAUGACGUCAAAUCAUCAUGCCCCUUAUGUCUUGGGCUUCACGCAUGCUACAAUGGCCGGUACAAAGGGCUGCGAUACCGUAAGGUGGAGCGAAUCCCAAAAAGCCGGUCUCAGUUCGGAUUGAGGUCUGCAACUCGACCUCAUGAAGUCGGAGUCGCUAGUAAUCGCAGAUCAGCA